UUUUGUGAUAAAACAUUUACUCAGUUGAGCAACUUAGUUCAACAUAGGCGAGUUCAUACUGGAGAAAAAUCAAUUUCAUGUGAUAUUUGUAAUAAACAUUUUACCUGUCGAAGUGGUUUAAUACGACAUAAACUGAUCCACACUGGAGAAAAACCAUUUCCAUGUGAUGUUUGUGGUAAAACAUACGUGUUAAAUCCUUUCAAAGCUCUAUCCGCAGAGCUGGAUCCACAGCAUCAGAUAAACAAAAUGGGAUUAGUUCUUUCAACGACGUUUUAGCAAAGAAAUUGGAUUAUGAAUCUGAUGAUAUGCGUGAAUAUAUCUAUGCUUUAUCACCGGAGCCUGAAAAAGUAUCUGCAAUGAUUUGUAUGAGACUGAAGAAACUAAAAAUUUAACUACUGAAAAACUGCGCCGUUUAUUAUUGCUUGAACAGCUUCAGGCAGUUAGAGAACAAAGACAAUACAUAAAAGAAAAGAGGAGGUAUUUACAAGAAAUACGAGAGAUAAACGGAAAGGAUGGUAAUGCUUUGGACAUAUGAAGUUUUAUAAAAGCCUCAAAAUGGAGUAUUUGCUAUUUUUAUUAAA